UGCUCCAGUGACAUCAUUACAUCAUUAGGAAAGUAGCUGUAGGGCACAGAUGUGAGACUCAGGAAAGAUUGCUAUGAAAGAAAAGGAUUCUUUGCAAGGCUGAAAAAGUCUCUGCAUUGUCUACUGAGAUCUGCUUUCUUUGGUUCUUCACUGCUGUGAGCUGAGCAGAGAUGCUGUACUCCUGAGCUUGGAGUCCAAGGGUACAGAAGAGUAUCCUGACGACCCAAGAGAAGAGAAAUGGCUGGACCAAACUUACUUCCUCGUUCCUGUAAAAGUCCCCUUCACUGCACUGAAUGAGGUAAUGCCAAGGAACUUAUCCAGAAGACAACUGAGGAGCCAGGGAGCUCUAAGAGAAGAUCUACUACAGUCUGUAUCACCCAUAGUUCCUCCCACCUCCUUUUCUCUCUCCUUCACUAGGGAAGUUUUGGGCCUGUCCACAGCACACAGAGGAACACAGAAAGCCCAAGAACAGCACUGCUUUCUCAUGGAGGAACAGGUGUCGCUGCAUUGGCUUGAAGCGUGCUAAAUCUUUCACCUUUGAGUGACCCUUUUUAUGAUCAGUCCAGACAUUGAAGGAUCCCUGCAUUAAAAGCUUGCCCAGCUCGUUCAGGUUUCCCUGGAACAAAAAGUGAUAUUUAUAACUACAAAGAGGUAACAUCUGACUAAAACACACUCUCUGAACAGGUCUUUACAAGUUCUGUCAUUCCAAGUAAUCUCUCACAUCAGUGUUUAUGUUGAGUUUGGAGAGGUAAUGAAAAUAUAGUCAGUGUUUAAUAUUCUCUCUCUCCUACACUGUUCAGGAAGGAUUUUACACAGUCAAGAAAGAGUACCAGUAGCAAAGAUAUGGAGAUCUACACAUAGAAAAAGGGGGAGGCAAAAUACGCAUUUGUUUUUUCAAGUGUCUGUUCUGAAGCUCCUUGCAUCUCUCCCUUCUUCCAGAAGUUUUAGGUGUAGUUGUUACAUAUGGAUAUAAAAAACUAGAAGUAACUCCCAUGUGGCAGUAGCCUAGAACACACUGUUCAUUAUGAUUUUUCUGUUUUUAACUUGCUGUCAAGUAGAUCAAAGAAAGAAAACUUGGGUAGACAGAGCAAAAAUAUUAUUCAGAGCAUGAAAACUUCAGAAGAGUAUACAGAUCCUCUUCCCAUUAUCACAUAAUUACAUAAUGCAGUUUAAAGGCAUCUUUUGUACAAGAUUCUUCUCAUUCUCAGUAUGUAACAGGGAGUACACUGUACAUAUGUAUCUGAAAAAAUUAAAAAUAUUGUUACUCACAUCAUAGCCUGUAAUGGCUAUCUGGUGCAUAGAAUCAUUAACUGCUUUGAGAAUACCCAGUAUAGAAGUUAAUGCCUCCUGGAGAUCUUCAGCUCCUUCACAAUUCUUACUGUAUUUCAGCAUUUCCUGAGUGGGCAAGAAAUGACAACAUACUUAGUUUUUUGGAAACAGCAAUAACUAGGAAUAUUUGAAUUUUAACACCAAAUUCGGCCUACAUUUUUCAAGUUAUCCAGGGAAGUCAACACCGUAUAAUCUAGUGGAUUAAAUACUGACUAACUCAGAAGACCCCAAGGUCUUCUUUAUUUCUUAUCUCUGCUGCUAAUUACCUGCACAUUCAUCCAAACAUUUUUAUAAGCAGUACCUAAGAAUUUUACAAUAUUAAAUUGGCAAGCAUUUUUCACAAGUGCUAAGAACAAAACAAAACAAAUCCCAGUGUCACAUCCACUUUUUAAAGCAAAUAAACAAACCUGAAACAUUUGUUACUUUUACAACUAGCAAAUAUAAAAAUAUAGGCAAAUUCCAUUUAUUAUUUGAGUUAUUGCAAAGACCUCGGAUGGCUUGGAAUGCUAGUCAUAGACCAAAACUUUGAGCACUGUCUAUGUAUUUAAAAAUGUAAUCCUUCUCCAAAAAGCUUAUUGGUGAAGCUGCAUCUUCUAAUUUGGUUCCAGAUGAACAUAGAGGCAAAUUCAUGUGGAACCCCACAGGCUUCAUAGCAUGAGAAUAAGCAUUUAGUAACGGAGUGUAGAAAGUAAAGACACUUUAAAUAGAAACCUUUCAAAUGCUCCUCUCUUCAGAGAGAAAAUACAUCGCAAAGAAAUGCAACAUAAAAGGAGACACCGUCUGUACAAAAGAGUACCAAGUUACUUUUAUGGGAAAAUUGGAAAGAUUAGUACCAUAGGAGAAACAAAGGAAUUGGGGAAAUUGUCACAACCAUGGACUAAUAAUAAGAAUUACUCAAAAGCUGGAAGACUGCCGUUGAACCAUACAUCAGCAAGGAUCCAAUCCAAAGUUACUGUUGGCAGUUCUGAUCACCCAAGUUCAAGAGAGAUGAAUAACAAACUUCAAGGAGAUAUUGAGAAAUGAGCUUGGCAUGGUCAGAGUGCUUGAUAGUCUAUUGUAUUGGCAGAAAAUGAAGAGCACUCGACCUAGCAAUACAAAAGGUUGCACUAUAUGUAAAACAAGAGAAAUACUAGAAGAACAGAAAUAUUCUGCAACAGCCUCCAUUAUCAGAAGGAAGAACCAAAAAGCCUUCAACCAUUUGAAUUUUGAUUUUAAGAACAGAAUUAUACCGAUAGGAUUGCAUACAAACGCAAGGAAUAAAGUAAUCCUUAAGGUCCACUCCAGACCUAUAUUGCUUUAUUACCCAACAUUAGACAGCUAUCCUGUUGUUGACACGUCCCAGCAUUUGGACAGAACCCAGAACAGCAACGCUAUUGGAAGCUGAGCAGAAACUAGGCAAAGGUAAGGCCAGAGCUCCUGCAGUACUCUUAUUUGAAGGUAUCUACCCAGAAAUCAUCACUGCUACAUAAUUUAAGACAGCUCCUAUUUAAGAGGAUAACACUUGCAUGGAUACCGAAAGUGCCCAACUUGCUCAAUUUUGACACAUUAUGACUGAAAUAACUCACCCUCAAGUUAUCUGAAGCUUUAUCAUCUCCUACAAUCAAACUGGACUACAGCAAAAUGAUGUGUCCAUGUAUGAAGACUUGACAAAUUUGAGGUACAGAACCCUGUACAAGAACCCUAUCUACAAGCAAUACACAGUACUGUAAUUGUGCCUUGAUAAGCACAGAGCAAAGGAAAUACCUUUGUUUCCUUCACAAUUUUGAUUCAAGAUGUUAUUAUUCCAAGGCACUUGUCUGCCAUAGUUUUACCCAAGAUAAUUGGAAGAUCACCUAAAGGUCUACAAAGAAGGAUGUGAUAAGUAGAUUUGCUACUUUGAUACAAAAUUUUCUCAACAUAAAUUCACAUUCCAGUGUGAAUUUCUUCUUUCAAUGCAAAUUCACAUUCCAGUAUGACACUAUCUUCCUGGAGCUGACCCAAGACUCUGGAAUGAACUUCUGCAAGAAUUAAUGACCAUUACAAAUGUCACUGUGUUCUACCUAAAUAAUCAGGCAUAUCUUCUUUUCUGCUGAAUUUGUGUUUACUAAUAUAAAAUCCUAGUUGCAUGAGUAUUUCUAGGAAAAAUAUUGUACAUUCCUGCCUCUGGAAUAUGAGACAGGAAAAUACCAGACAGAGAUGUAACAACCACACUGCUUGAUGAGACAAGAGGAGGCAUUACAGUGAUAAGCAAAGCAUAUGAACAUCCAUGAAAUGAAACUGAACUAGAUUCAUAUCAGCCACAGUGAAAUUUAAUCUUUACCUCAAGAACACAGUGAAAUCUAAUCUUUACCUCAAGAACACAGAGAAGUUCAUCCACAUAUGCUCUUUCAGUUUCAAUAAGUUCAUUAAUUACAUGCCUGUAAACAAAGAACGGUAAUUAAGGAACGCCUAUUCACUUAUGCAAAAUAUUGAGGCAACAUUAACUUUGUCUGUUUCUACUUUCCUUCAAACAAUAAAAGAAACAUUUCCAGUUCAAGUAAAAUGUGAUUUUCAUAGACAUUUCUGUCAACAGUUCAUAUGUCCUUAUUGAGAAGCGUGCAUUUUAAAAAUGUUUUAAAGUUGAAAAUGUGUUUAAACAGGAAAAAAAGCCAAAAGCUAGCAUUUUAAGUGUUGUAGGAGCUGAACUGAAGCAGUGAACAGUUUUAUCACUGUUUAUCACAAAAUCUGUUUAU